AAUAGGACUGGUCCCAGCACAGAGCCCUGAGGGACAGCACUGGUGACUGGCCGCCAGCUGGAUGCAGCACCGUUCACCAUCACUCUCUGGCCCGGCCAUCCAGCCAGUUCCUAACCCAGCCAAGAGUGCUCCUGUCCAAGCCGUGGGCUGCCAGCUUCUCCAGGAGUGUGCUGUGGGAGACAGUAUCAAAGGCCUUGCUGAAGUCUAAAUAGACCACAUGCACAGCCUUUCCUGCGUCCACCAGGCGGGUCAGCUGGUCACAGAAGGAGACCAGGCUGGUCACACAUGGCCUACCCUUCGUAACCCCUGAUGACUGGCUCUGAUACCCUGGCCAUGCUGUGUCACAUUGGCCAGUUUCCAAUCAUCUGGAACCUCACGAGUGAGCCACGACUCCUGGUAAAUGAUGGAGAGCGGCUUGGCAACCUCAUCUGCCAGCUCCCUCAUCACCCUAGGGUGAAUCCCAUCUGGUCCCAUUGAUUUUUAAAUAUCCAAGUGUCCCAGCAGUUCUCUGACUGCCUCCUCUUGGAUAAUAAGAGGACCAUUCUGAUCCCUGGCACCACCUACCAACCCUUGAGGACAGUUGUCAUGAGGAUAAGCUGUCUUACCACUAAAGACUGAGGUGAAGAAAACAUUAAGCACUUCCGCCUUUUCCGCAUCUUUAGUAACUAGUUUGCCUGCUCCAUCCAAUAAGGAACCGAGGUUGGUUAUACCCUUCCUUUUACCAUUAAUAUAUUUGUAAAAACUUUUUUUAUUAUUUUUAACAGAAGUUGCCAAGUUGAGUUCAAACUGA